rnacentral:misc_RNA from 1 species
UCAAAACAGCGGCCUUCGGGCCUCGCUGCACCCUUGUCUUUUGCGCACCGUAUUGUUUCCUCGGCGGGCUUGCCUGCCGGUUGGACAUCAUAAAACCUUUUGUAGUUGCAAUCAGCGUCAGAAAAACAAUAAUUAUUA